GGUGGGUUGCUUGCCCUGGCUGAACUGGAUUAAAUCUGUGCUCUAGUGGGCAUGGCAGACCCCUGGGCUAACAGGCCAAGGGAUGAACCUCAAUGGCUCCCACCAGAGUCUGUGUCAGCACGCCUGGACCAAUUCAGAACAAUGUCCCCCAGCAAUGUCUCAGUCUCCAGAGAGGUCCCUCCUCUCACCAAGAUGCCCCCAGAACCCACCAGUGGGCCGUCAGAGGAGGGUGUGGACUCUGAGCCUCAGAAGCAGGAGCUGACAGAGAAGAACCAAGUGUGCUGGCGCGUGUGCAGACAGGUUCCUGGAGCAAGAGUGAGGAGAUCAGGGUCCCAUCACUGGGACACUUUAGGGAGGCAGCAGAUGGCUGAAAUCCUGGCAUGACGUGGCUGGAUCAUGCACGAUCUGAGGGCCCCUGCACUGGUGACUGGGGCGGGUCCAGAAUUUUCCUAUCAAUGUAUUAAGACACAGGUCAGUCCAGAGCAGCAGUAAGGCAAAUGCCACACCUUGCUGCCCUGGUAUCACGUCUCACUGAGCUCAGCAGUUUCUCGAGAAUAAUACUGUGCACCAUAGCUCAGAAAGAAGAGGCUUUGCAGAAGAAUGCUGUCACAGAACACUGGGACUCUGGCUGGAGAAACCAUGAUGUACGGAGGUUAAGUAACCUGGCUGGGGGUCAUCGUGCUACCAAGACGAAAAGCAGAGACUGCUGCCUUCUGUGUCCAAAUGCCAACUGCAUGAUGCUCAGCUGCGAGCCACCUCCAAUCAAGUAGACCUUGCUCUCCUUCUGAGCCGUGUCACUCCUACAAUCUGCGUCUUCACUUCUGAUUCCAAAAUGCUAGUCCUGCCUGUGUUUAUACAAGUCAGUGUACAUGAUUCAACCUCAGUUUCCUAUUCUGUAAAAACAAGGGUGUGUGGAAAGAACACAAGGAAGGUUUUGGAGAGGAUGGAUAUGUUUAGGACCUUGGUUAUGGUCAUUGUGUUACAGGUGCAUGUGUAGGUCCAAACCUAUGAAGAUUUAUACGUUAAAUUGUGUAAUUUUUUGUCUAUCAGUUAUACCUCAAUGAAACUAUAAAAUCCAAUCUCUCCAGGAGGUAAGGUGUGGCAGUCUGCCUAAAUCUGCUUCUGCACACUGAAGUUAAGGGCUCCCAUUUUGCAGCCGUCUGGUGCAGAGUCCUAAGAAGCUGCAUCCUCUCAGCCACGCAACACCACGGGGUCCGUCAUCUGCAUGAAGAGCUCUGCCCUGGGACAUAAACAUUACACUUGCCUGCUCAACAACCACCUCUUUGUCACAUCUCUAGAUCUUGAGUGUUGAAAUGAGUGUUCAAAUGGAGACAGACAGGUCUUUCUCCAGGAGGAAAGGAUUUCCUUCCCCCAGGACAGAAUUCAGUUGCUUGGGUAGAGACAAGGAUUAUAUUGCUGUGCGAUCAGGUACGUAAAAGCCCGAGUUGUAAAUGCCUCCACAGAGUCAGAGUCUGAUGAUGUGAAGGCUGUGCUUUAGGCAAUGAGCUUUCAAAUUAAGCACGCGUUUUUUCCUCAGGUCCUGUACUUUUGCUUCAUUGAAAAGGAUUUUGCAGAUAACAAUCAUUUUUUCUGGUCACUUCAAUAAACUCUGUCUUAUUUCUUUUUCUUUCUUUCUCAAGGGAUUUCCGUUUAUGGAAUAAAUCAUCUGAAAUUAUAAUGUCUCAAAUUCUGUCAUGGGUAAAUGGGUUGUCUAAAUGCAUUGUCUAAUAUACCACAGCUAGGCAACGUAAUGGUGGUGAAAUAUAAUGGUGGCAGUAGGGAACUCUUGCAGGUUCCUGACUCUUAAGUCAGAAUACUUUUACUGUACCACAGAAAUCGGAAUGGUGAACUUUUGGGGAUGCAUCCCUUCAGUAACAUAACACAACCGUCAUAGUAAAAGCAGACGUGAAUCCUUACUGCUAAAAGUGUUUGAGUUAAUAAAGAAAUGGGUGACGGGAGACAAGCUGUCUUGAUCAAAUAUUUCUAAAUAAUGUAUGUAGAUACCCUGCCUCCAUGAAGUGAACCUUAGUUCUGCCUCCACCGCUGAGGGCAGGGCAUACUCAGUGACUCCCUUCUAAAGAACUGAGUCUGGGGGUGGAGAACAGUUCCUGUACCCUGGAGAACCUCGACAAACACCUCAGCCCAGCCAUGAGGGUCAACGUGUCCAGUGAUCCAGCGAUGUCACAUGGGUCUCAUGUCCUCCCAGAUAUCAUGUGCUGAGAAGGGCACUUGAACUCUGUGCUAUUCUUUCUCAAAACCUGUAAGCACAGUCUAAUCAAGAGAAAAAUAGCAGACUGUGCCUGCACUCCUCAAGGCUGUCAGGGUCAUGAAAACAGUCUGGCAGUUCCUCAAACAGUUCAACAGAGACUUACCACAUGACCCAGCGAUUCCACUCCUAGGUACACAGCCAGGAGAAAUGACGACACAUGUAUACCUAAAAACUUGCUCACAAAUGUACGUGGCAUCAUUAUUCAUAAUAGCCAAAAGUGGAAACAAGCCAGAUGUCCACCAGUUAAGGAAUGGACAAAUAAAAUGUGGGAUAUAAUUUGGCAAUGAAAAGGAAUGAAGUACUGAAACAUGCAACAACACGGGUGAACCUUGAAAACGGUAUGUCAGGUGAAAGAAUCCAAAUAUGCAAAGACCACAUAUUGUAUUGAAGGGGAGCAGAAUAUGCCACCUCAAAAUGCGCCACUUUGGCAUGUGGAUUAUUUUGAGGUGAAGACAAUCAAGGCCCAGAAGACUCAGGAAGAGCUUUCUACCCCCACCUUAACUGCCUGAAAGAAUUUAGAUACAGGCCCUGGUCCAGGAAGAGAGUUGUCACCAGAGAUAACUACAAAGAAUAUGCACUAGGUGUGGUGAGCUGGGGGUUGGGGGGACUCAGCAGGGUCUGUUUGUCCACAUUCCUCUCUGUGUCCCACUGUCUCUGCACAGCAUGGCAAACAUGUGUUUACCAAACCUUCAUUCAACCAUCUUCCUAUGAAUUGUCUUCCUUUCCUUUGAAGCCCCAGAACCUUAUCCCCUUCUCCUUAGCCCAGAGUGGCACAUAAACCUCAAAUGCCUGACUGUCGAGGAGCCUCUCAUACAUAUGUGGGGCUCCCAUACAUACGAAACUAAAUUUCUUUUUCUCCUGUUAAUCUGUCUUAUGUCAGUUUAAUUAUUAGACCAGCCAAAAGAACCUAGAGGGGUAGAGAAAAAUUUUUUUCUCCCCUGCAGUGUGAUUCCACUUAGAUGAAAUGUCCAGAAUAGGCAAGUCCAUGGAGAGAAAGCUAAUCUGUGGUUCCCGGGGCUGGCAAUGGGUGUGGACUUUAACUGCAUUCAAGCACAAUGGGACUUUUUGGGGUGAUGGAAACGUCUAAAACUCGAUUAUGGUAAUGGUUGUACAACUCUAUGCAGUUACUGAAAAUCAUCAAAAUGUAUGCUUAAAAUGUGUGGAUUUUGUUCUCUCUAAAUUAUAUUGCAAGAAAGCAGUUAAAAAUGUGAUAUUGGCCUGGUCUUCUCUUGUACCACGGUAAUGACCAACCUUGUUCAUAGAAAGGCCUUGA
ensembl:lncRNA